UGAUCAUGGCUCAGAUUGAACGCUGGCGGCAGGCCUAACACAUGCAAGUCGAGCGGCAGCACAGAGAAACUUGUUUCUCGGGUGGCGAGCGGCGGACGGGUGAGUAAUGCCUGGGAAAUUGCCCUGAUGUGGGGGAUAACCAUUGGAAACGAUGGCUAAUACCGCAUGAUGCCUACGGGCCAAAGAGGGGGACCUUCGGGCCUCUCGCGUCAGGAUAUGCCCAGGUGGGAUUAGCUAGUUGGUGAGGUAAGGGCUCACCAAGGCGACGAUCCCUAGCUGGUCUGAGAGGAUGAUCAGCCACACUGGAACUGAGACACGGUCCAGACUCCUACGGGAGGCAGCAGUGGGGAAUAUUGCACAAUGGGCGCAAGCCUGAUGCAGCCAUGCCGCGUGUGUGAAGAAGGCCUUCGGGUUGUAAAGCACUUUCAGUUG
rnacentral:rRNA from 1 species